rnacentral:rRNA from 1 species
UACAAUGGCGUAAACAAAGGGAAGCGAGCCUGUGAAGGGGAGCAAAUCCCAAAAAUAACGUCCCAGUUCGGAUUGUAGUCUGCAACCCGACUACAUGAAGCUGGAAUCGCUAGUAAUCGCGGAUCAGAAUGCCGCGGUGAAUACGUUCCCGGGUCUUGUACACACCGCCCGUCACACCAUGGGAGUCAGUAACGCCCGAAGCCGGUGACCUAACCGAAAGGGAGGAGCCGUCGAAGGUGGGACCGAUAACUGGGGUGAAGUCGUAACAAGGUAGC